UGGUCAGUCCAGGGUGAAUAUGCCAGGAGG
rnacentral:piRNA from 1 species